AUAGCGUAUAUUAAAGUUGUUGCAGUUAAAAAGCUCGUAGUCGAACUUCGGGUCUGGCCGGGCGGUCCGCCCUUUCGGGCGCGCACUGCUCACGGGCCGGUCCUUCCCUUCUGGGGAACCACGGCGACUCCUUCACGGGGGCCGUCGUCGGGGAGCCAGGACGUUUACCUUGAAAAAAUUAGAGUGUUCAAAGCAAGCGCACGCUUGAAUAGAUUAGCAUGGAAUAAUGGAAUAGGACCUUGGUCUUAUUUUGUUGGUUUUCGAAGGCCACGGUAAUGAUUAAUAGGGAUAGUUGGGGGCAUUGCUAUUGCGGAGUCAGAGGUGAAAUUCUUGGAUUUCCGCAAGAGCAACAAUUG
rnacentral:rRNA from 1 species